CGCUUUAUCGAUGACGUCAAUCGAAGCGGGCAAGACGAAAACUGCCGAAGGGAAAUGGUAUUAAUGCCUCGGAUAUUAAGAAAUUAGAAACAGCUGGCUUUCAUACUGUAGAAGCGGUUGCAUUUGCACCAAAAAAGCAACUGAUUAGCAUAAAGGGAAUCAGCGAAGUAAAGGCAAAUAAAAUAUUGAUGGAGGCCAUGAAAAUGGUUCCGAUGGGAUUUACGACAGCCACAGAAUUUCAUCAGAAAAGAUCAGAAAUUAUUCAAAUCACUACAGGAUCUAAAGAAUUAGAUAAGUUAUUAGAAGUAUACAAUGACACUUCACACCAACAAAGUUAUUCUAUGAUUAUAACAUAUAUGAUAUAUGAUCCUGUAAUGCCACAACACUUACGUGUUGUGGCGUUACAGGAGUGGAGUCUUGGAGAAUGAACUCGUCCAACUUUAGAAAAUGAACUCGUCCACUAGCACUUUCAGUAGUAUAUAACUACCGUCUUCAGGCGGUCUAUCGGAUACAACAGCUUGUGAUUUUUGAACACUUAUCCGACGGUUUCACAAAUUUCGGAUAUUCGAAAUUUUAGAACAAUAUUUCCGUCGAAUUAACUGAUUUUUCGUUUUUGAAUGUUAUUUAAAACUCGUUUUUUGCAUCAUAGCACGUGGAACGAAAACAGUUUUUCUUAAGCAUGGUUUAGGAAGAAUAAGGCCGUAAAAGAGCCCAGAACAUGCAUUAAGUAUAAGUUAUGUCAAAAGGACAUCCAAGUAGCAAAGACUUUAACAUCGUUCUGAGCUCUUUUACAGCCUUAUUCUUCCUAAACCAUGCUUAAGAAAAACUGUUUUCAUUCCACGUGCUAUGAUGCAAAAAACGAUUUUUAAAUAACAUUCGAAAACAAAAAAUCAGUUAAUUCGACGGAAAUAUUGUUCGAAAAUUUCGAAUAUCCGAAAUUUGUGAAACCGUUGGAUAAGUGUUCGAAAAUCACAAGCUGUUGUAUCCGAUAGACCACCUGAAGACGGUAGUUAUAUACUACUGAAAGUGCUAGCGGACGAGUUCAUUUUCUAAAGUUGGACGAGAUCAUUCUCCAAGACUCCACUCCUGUAACGCCACAACACGUAAGUGUUAUAAUCAUAGAAUCUUUUUGAAUAUGUGGCAUUGAAACUGGUUCCAUAACAGAAAUAUUUGGUGAAUUUCGGACAGGAAAAACUCAAUUGUGUCACACACUUGCGGUUACUUGUCAGAUCGACCACUUCAAUUGGUUGUUUCUACUCAUAUCUGCUUUCUAAUUGGUCGUCACUCAUUUACUAAAUGUAACGAAAUUGGAACCUAGAUCUCGGGAUGAAUCAAAAUCAUCUGUCCAUUUGAUCCCAAUCAAAGAUGGUUGCUUUUAGGACUUACAUUAUUCUAUUGUUAAAAUAUGAGAAGUACUCUUUUAUUUAUUUAUGUUUUUUUGUGAUUAAACAUUUCAUUUAUCUAAACUAAAUUUAAAUAAAAAAAUAAUUUUCUUA